rnacentral:lncRNA from 13 species
GUUGUUUUAUUUAGUCUGAACUGUCUUUACAUGCCUGACACCCCUUGACAGAAAUACUCUGAAGCUGUGUAUCUGGAUGGAGAACAAUGUUGACAGCACUGUCACUGAAUAUUACUCCCGAAAUACACAGCGCGUCAUUACUUUGAGUGUCUAUUCUUCAGUCGUUGAAGCCUCCUUGGUACAUUGAAGUUGGAAGAUUUGUACAUUAGCCAAUAGUAUCAAACAUAUCUUAAUCAUCUGAAGGCUGCAACAAUGAUUCAGCAGAACAAUAACAACAACUACCCAUGCCUGGAGAUGUCUUGCUCCCCCAGGGAGGUGCUGCAGAAGUGCCAAAGAAGCUAUCUUCCCUUCACAGGACGCUUGGAGCUUGGGGACAUGCCCUUAGUCAAGGGCCUUCGGGCCUGGGCUGCGUGCUCCAAGAACCGCAGGAGGGCAGCACCUCCCCCCAGGUCCCAAGGAACGUGCCCCAGGCCUGCAGAUGGCUACCCAGUGGGGGGCAGGCUGGGUUAUGGUCUGGGGCUACCGCUGGACUCCAACUAUGCCUCCAACCCCAGACAGACAGGCCUGGGGGCACUGGUGACUGUGGCAACAUUGAAGGCCUCUGAGGGAGGUGGUCAGACUCAGACACGUUGUCUGUUCCUCAAGACGGAGGGUGGAAGGUGCCUCUACUCCACGGGCAGCCCAAGGCCCUGCACUCAAGGUCUGGCUCCUCAGUCCCCCUCCACGCUGGUGGGCAGCUGGCUGAGGGAUAAAGUGGGAGGGGUCAGGGACUCAUCCACGGUUGGGAAAAUUGGGGUGUGGGAUAUGGGAGGGGCCUCAGAGUUGUACCAGGUCAAAUCGAGGUCAGCCCGGAGGUGGAGGACAUCCUGCAAGCCUGUGGGUCCCAUCCAGAGGAGAGCACUCCAGAGCACGGAGGACUCUGGCGGGCGUACCCUGGAAGGGAGCCAGGAAAGCAGGGACAAAGGGGAGUUUCCCACAACUGGCCAGGACACUCAGAGUGGAAAACAAGACCGAGGCAGUACUAGAAGCCCCAAAUGCAGUCACGCUCAGACCAAGACCUGCACCCAGUGUCACGGGCGGAGAGGAGGACAGGGGAGCAGCAGGGGUCAGAGGGGAGCUGCUUCUGUAUGUGAGCAGGAUCAGUCGAGCGGCGGUGUGGAGGGGAUUAAGGAGAAAGUGCAGGACGGGACUGGUCUCACCCGGUCAAAGCCCUGUGACUCCUCCCUGCCUCCAGACAACGCUGACCCAGAAAACUGCAGCAGUGACGUCGGGGACCGGGGAAAGCCAGACAGCCCACGCGCACAGGAGGGGCUGCAUCCUGAAACCUCCCUUGACAAGGAGCACUUCCAGGACAAACUAUGCGAUACAGACAUCCAUACUGGAGGCAAGGAUGUGGCCAGUGGUAUCAUGAGACAUGUGGAAGACUUUGAUGGCAUGGUGGGUGCUGUGAUUGGGUUUGUGGAUCAUAUCAAGUCCACAGAGUGUGAUUCUGAGAGUCUAGGGGGGAACAGGGGGAUAGCUGAGGGGGAGCUGCCCAACAGGUGGAUCGAUGUUCAAACUUCAGAGAGACACUGCUGCUCUGAGAGAGGCUGCCUCAAAGACUGCUCCACUCAACCACCCGGACCAGCAGGGGGCAGCAUUUCAACUGCUACUGAUGAGACUGCCUAUGGUCAGAUAAAUCAGGAAAGUAAAUCAGAUAGUCAAUACAAUAAGCUUUGUGUGAAAUGUCAGCCAGAAGAAAAAUAUCCUGUGGCAGUGGAUAAAGAAGUAUUACAGAAAUCUGUGCAUGGCCUCUGUGAGGGAGAGGAGGGGAUCCAGUCAACAGCAUCAGAAAUUAGGGAACUCUGUGGGGAGCAUGGAGAGCUACUGCCUGAGGUCAGGAGCACAGAUGAUGAGACCAGGCUGGUAGGGGGAGACAUCACAUCCCAGAGAACUGAGCGAGGGCCUCGCUGGGCAACGGAGGAACAUGAGUCCGAGCUCACAUGUAGGACGGAAGAGAGGUGUUUUUCAGAUUUAUCAGCUACUGAGGAGGCCGUAGGAGGGUGGAGGGAGGCAGGGACUGGGCAGUUUAAUUCCCUUUUACGAGCCUCUGCUGCUGCUGGCCCUGCUACCUCUGUCACACACUCGCCGCCUAAUCCGGCCUCCUCAGGAGCCAUGGCAACAGGCCUCCCUGCUCCAAAUGGGGGGCAGACAGACGCUGGAGGUUGGGCUCUGGUGCCUCUGCUACGGAGCCCAGGGGAGCAGGAGUGGAAGAGGGGCAGGGACGAGAGCAAGGUGGCCGCCAACGGUGGGUUCCUGGAUGGGGGGCCGGAGGCGGAGGAUGACUUUGGACUUUUCAUGCAGGCAGAGGAGCAGCCGCCCUGGGACGACCGCUUCACUGCAUCACCCCUAGUGCCUUCUGGGAAAAGUGAGUGUGUUGCACUUGAAAACCAUUCAAUCACCAACGAGUCGACCCAUUGGACCUCAUGUUGGCCAGACCGCUCAUUCCAACCAUCAGAGGAUGCCUGGACAGCCUUCCCAAAGGAUUCAGAGGGAGAGGGACAAGACACAAGAGGACAGUGGUGGCCCACAAAUGCUGUGGAGAAGACGAGGGGAAGAUUCUCUGCCAAGGGAAAUGUGAACAAUGUGUUUGUGGAGGCCUUCCCGUCACUGUCUACUCCCCUGUAUGAUCGUGAUGCUGUUCCCAUGCUCAGCCAGCUCCUCAGAGGCAUCUUGGAUCAUGAAAGCUCUGCAGAGGAUCAUGGCUUACUUGAUGGGUUCCAUGACCUGAAGAAGAUGUUUGGCUUGAAAUAUAAGAGGGCAAAUGCUGUUUCCCGUGAACGGCUUCUACAGUCGCUACAUUUGGGCCAGUAUGACACGGAAAAUAUGACUGGGCAUAGAGCAGCCAACUACAGUCCCUCUCUUGGCCUCCCCUCGUCCAGUCAGCAUACACAGGCCUGUGGGAAGAGACGGUUAUCUUAUGAUGUCAACAAGAACAUCAUGGAAUAA